rnacentral:rRNA from 1 species
GACGAACGCUGGCGGCGUGCCUAAUACAUGCAAGUAGAACGCACAGUUUAUACCGUAGCUUGCUACACCAUAGACUGUGAGUUGCGAACGGGUGAGUAACGCGUAGGUAACCUGCCUGGUAGCGGGGGAUAACUAUUGGAAACGAUAGCUAAUACCGCAUCAUAUUAAUUAUUGCAUGAUAAUUAAUUGAAAGGUGCAAUUGCACCACUACCAGAUGGACCUACGUUGUAUUAGCUAGUAGGUGAGGUAACGGCUCACCUAGGCGACGAUACAUAGCCGAGCUGAGAGGAUGAUCAGCCAAAGUGGAACUGAGACACGGUCCAGACUCAUAAGGGAGGAAGCAGUGGGGAAGAGUGGACAAUGGGAGAAAGGCUGAUGCAGCAAUAAAGCGUGGGGGAAGAAGGCGUGGGGGUUGGAAAGCACUUUUGUUGGGAAAGAAAAGCAGCAGGGGAAAAGGCAGGUGUUCUGCAGGUACCAAAAGAAUAAGAACCGGCUAACUGAGUG